AGAUCCCGAUUGCCCAGAAUCCCGAUGACCCUGAAUUUCAAUUAAUUAGAAUCCCUAUUGCCUCAAAUUCCGAUGAUACCAAUCCCGAUUGCCUAGAAUCCUGAUAUUGUUGAUCCCGAUUACCCUGAAUUUUUGUCGGAUAAAAUCCUGAUUACUUAAAAUCCCGAUGAUACAGACGUGAGCAUUAUCCAGGGUUAAAAAUUUUUAAUUCUCAUCCACUCUAUAAAAUUAUCGAGUUUAUGGCAAUAUCUUGUAUUGGCAAAACUGAGAUCGGAGUAGAGCGUGAACUUAUUUAUAGUGAAGGUAAAUAUAUUUAUGAUGGUUAGUAGUGACAGCGUGUUGUGACAGCUUGUAAACAUUAGGCCUUCUACGACCAACGACUCGCCGAGGGCCAUCCAGGUAUAUUGUUCGGGCAGUUCUUCGCGAGUCGGGUCAUCGCCGAGCCCCAGCGACCCAACUGGCAGCCCACUAGCCGUGCAAUGCCCAGACUCAACUGUAUCACAGUGUUGGAGUCGUAGAAUUCCAGCGCUAAGAAUCCAGGUGCACCAGUUGAACCAACUAACAAAAAACUACGUAAGCAUUACGUACGUAAAAAACGGAGACAAAAAGCAAAGGGGAGCAAUGAAGGGUGCCAGUGACAAGUCUAGGUCUACCAAUGAAACCAGUGGUGUCCUGCUGGCAGGGACCGAGUCUGCCACGAGUCCUGUCCACCCCGGCGAUAACCUCCCCGAUGAUCGUUAGCCCCGAGAUAUCGAUAUCCAACCUUGGUCAAUUGUCGAGCGACUGUACCGCGGACUCGUUGAAGGCCAAGAGCCAGCUGACCCUCCGGCAAAGAGACUCUCCUCCGAGCAAGCUGACAGAGAUGAGCACUUGAAAUUAGAAGAAGCGCAUUUAUCAGCGCCACUUGUAGCAAACUUAGUCGCUUCUCUAUCUAGCAACCGCCUGCACUCCUGUCCGACUGUCAAGGGGAGUUUCUACGGCGGAAAAGUCGGCUCGAUUAACAAAGAAAACGAUAACAAGAACGAGAACGAACAAUGAUGCAAGUUAGUCUCCAGACCCGGUCGUAGGAGUCUCGACUUCCUGCAGACUGAUGUAAUGAACACCUGUUGGCCCUCGACUCACGUUCGCAACCAGGAUAAUUUUAACCUAGUGACUGACAAAGACUUCGAGUUGCCCUCCGCUAAAAACACUCUGACCGGGGACUAAAACGACGAUCCAGAGUCUGGCAGGCUGGAGAUCGAGUUAGCUGAUGAAGAAAAGGAAGAGGAAGCCUCUCCUUCCCCGGAUAGUAUCGAUGAAGAAGCUGUUGUCUCUUCUAUUGACAUGACCAUGCUCAGAGACUUUGAAUGUGUCAUGUGGGCUGAAGAAUGCGGCACUGCUGGCAGUUUAUUGGAAUCUUAAGCAUUGGUAGAAGCUGGGUUGUUGCCUGUUGAUGAUUUACUCAAUUUACGUAAAAUCGACAGCGACUUAGAGGGACAUCAAAUCCAAGAUUGAAUUUCGUUGAUGUGGGUACUGGAUUCCUGGGUCAAGGUCUUUCAGUUGCUGCUGGUGUAGCUUAUGUCAAAAAAAAUUAUGACAAGGCUAAUUACCGUGUAUACUAUUUAAUUGGUGAUAGAGAAUCAGCAGAAGAUUCAAUUUGGGAAGCGUUACACUUUGCCUCUUACUACAAACUUGAUAAUCUUUGUGCCAAUUUUGACAUCAAUCGUCUCGGUCAAAGUGAACCUACUUUUUUGCAACUUAAAAUGGAAGUAUACCAAAAGCGCUUCGAGGCAUUUGGAUUUCAUGCUUUAGUUAUCGAUGGCCAUGAAGUUGAAGAAUUGGUCAAGGAAUGCAUAAAUUUACUUCGUUGCAUUCAUUAGUUAUUAUUCAUUGGACAAUUUAAAUGUUAUUUAGGUUAUAUAAAUCAAGAAUUAAUUAAUUAUAAGUAAAAUAAACUUUAUUGUUAUUAGAAAUACGAUUAAAAAUAACACUGAGUAAUUAAAUGGUAGAGUAAAUUUAUAAAUAAUUAUCG